GAAUGAGUAGCUCAGCUGGCAGAGCAGCGGUCCUUUAAACCGUGGGUCGUGGGUUCGAAUCCCGCCUUGUUCACCA
rnacentral:tRNA from 1 species